rnacentral:rRNA from 1 species
CUGGCGGCGUGCCUAAUACAUGCAAGUCGAGCGAGCUGAAUUCAAAGAUUCCUUCGGGAUGAUUUGUUGGACGCUAGCGGCGGAUGGGUGAGUAACACGUGGGCAAUCUGCCCUAAAGACUGGGAUACCACUUGGAAACAGGUGCUAAUACCGGAUAACAACAUGAAUCGCAUGAUUCAAGUUUGAAAGGCGGCGUAAGCUGUCACUUUAGGAUGAGCCCGCGGCGCAUUAGCUAGUUGGUGGGGUAAAGGCCUACCAAGGCAAUGAUGCGUAGCCGAGUUGAGAGACUGAUCGGCCACAUUGGGACUGAGACACGGCCCAAACUCCUACGGGAGGCAGCAGUAGGGAAUCUUCCACAAUGGACGCAAGUCUGAUGGAGCAACGCCGCGUGAGUGAAGAAGGUUUUCGGAUCGUAAAGCUCUGUUGUUGGUGAAGAAGGAUAGAGGCAGUAACUGGUCUUUAUUUGACGGUAAUCAACCAGAAAGUCACGGCUAACUACGUGCCAGCAGCCGCGGUAAUACGUAGGUGGCAAGCGUUGUCCGGAUUUAUUGGGCGUAAAGCGAGCGCAGGCGGAAUGAUAAGUCUGAUGUGAAAGCCCACGGCUCAACCGUGGAACUGCAUCGGAAACUGUCAUUCUUGAGUGCAGAAGAGGAGAGUGGAAUUCCAUGUGUAGCGGUGGAAUGCGUAGAUAUAUGGAAGAACACCAGUGGCGAAGGCGGCUCUCUGGUCUGCAACUGACGCUGAGGCUCGAAAGC